rnacentral:rRNA from 1 species
GAUGAACGCUGGCGGCGUGCUUAACACAUGCAAGUCGAACGGUGAAGCAGAGCUUGCUCUGUGGAUCAGUGGCGAACGGGUGAGUAACACGUGAGCAACCUGCCCCUGACUCUGGGAUAAGCGCUGGAAACGGCGUCUAAUACUGGAUACGAACCGCGACCGCAUGGUCAGUGGUUGGAAAGAUUUUUUGGUUGGGGAUGGGCUCGCGGCCUAUCAGCUUGUGGGUGAGGUAAUGGCUCACCAAGGCGGCGACGGGUAGCCGGCCUGAGAGGGAGACCGGCCACACUGGGACUGAGACCCGGCCCAGACUACUACGAGAGGCAGCAGUGGGGAAUAUUGCACAAUGGGCGCACGCCUGAUGCAGCAACGCCGCGUGAGGGAUGACGGCCUUCGGGUUGUAAGCCUCUUUCAGCUCCGACGAAGCGCAAGUGACGGUAGGUGCAGAAGAAGGACCGGCCAACUACGUGCCAGCCGCCGCGGUAA